rnacentral:rRNA from 1 species
AGUGAACGCUGGCGGUAGGCCUAACACAUGCAAGUCGAACGGCAGCACAGUAAGAGCUUGCUCUUACGGGUGGCGAGUGGCGGACGGGUGAGGAAUACAUCGGAAUCUACUUUUUCGUGGGGGAUAACGUAGGGAAACUUACGCUAAUACCGCAUACGACCUACGGGUGAAAGCAGGGGAUCUUCGGACCUUGCGCGAUUGAAUGAGCCGAUGUCGGAUUCGCUAGUUGGCGGGGUAAAGGCCCACCAAGGCGACGAUCCGUAGCUGGUCUGAGAGGAUGAUCAGCCACACUGGAACUGAGACACGGUCCAGACGCCUACGGGAGGCAGCAGUGGGGAAUAUUGGAAAAUGGGCGCAAGCCUGAUCCAGCCAUACCGAGUGGGUGAAGAAGGCCUUCGGGUUGUAAAGCCCUUUUGUUGGGAAAGAAAAGCAGCAGGUUAAGACCCCGCUGUUCUGACGGUACCAAAAGAAUAAGCACCGGCGAACUUAGG